UCUAUAUCCUGUAUAAUCAUCAUUCAUCAACAACACAAUCUAUUUAAGUAUGUAACUCCCAUACUUCUAACUAUUAGACUAUGAGCCCACGGGCUUAGUUAGGUUUCUAGGGUUACCCACUGGGUUUGGUAGGUGACAGCCACCGGAUUCUGUACCCGUGGCGGUGGCAGGACUAGGCCUACAUAUACUGCUGCUACUGCUACUCCGAGCAAGAGAUGUGGUGGAUGACAUGUUUGUUGGGCGGCGGGAGGAGAUUGGCGAAUUAGGGCAGAAACCACCUUGAACAGAUUCCAAUUCCGGUUGAGAUUCAUUAUUGGAUGACGAAAUUGAUAUACCAGCCGACUUAAGCAACUUUGAGGCAACUGAUAAACCCGAUCGGCUUUGUGGCUGCCGUAACGUAACAUUCGCCGUCGAAGAUUUACUUGUUCUUACAGUCAAUGAUUGUGAAACCACAAGUUGUCUCCUCUGUAACAACGAUUCAGGUGUUUCCAUGCUUUGUACACUCUUCGGAAUGUUCUCGUGUGACGACCAGGAGGAAGAAAACGGUUCCCGUGCUUGACUGCCUCUCUGUGAAGGCGACGGCUUUGAUGAUCGGUCAAAUGCCAGAGUUGAGGCAGAUGAAAAUGGAGAUAUGAACCUGGAGCCGACCUCUCUGACUCUAGGGCGGUGGUGAGGCAGCGGAGGAGCUGCUCCGUGGUCAGCCGGCGCGUCAACGGAACUAGUCAUCUCCCUAAACACUAAAAACCAUAUCUAACCACCAUCUCAAGACCGGAGACCAUGUCAAAGUUCGCCUACAACGUCGUCUUCUCUCUCCGGUGAAACAGAAGCAUAUGAGUAGCAGUAGUAGCAAGCAGCAUAUGUAAGCCUAGUCCUGCCACCGCCACGGGUACAGAAUCCGGUGGGCUGCCACCUACCAAACUCGGAAAUGGUUCGACCAAGGGGAAGAAACCUCAGUGUUCUCAACAAGAUGUUCAUUCUAGAAAAUAUAUAGGGAUUACGAGUAACCCUAGAAACCUAACUAAGCACGUGGGCUCAUAGUCUAAUACUAACUACCUUCAUUAACAUGUUAUGAAAUGUUGAUGUACCACAAAUGAUACCUGCUGAAGAAGAUUGUGUUGUGUCAAAGUUUCUUGCAUCUCUAGCUUAUGUUUCCUUUUGAGUUUCUUCAUUUCUUCUUCGAGUUGGUGCACGUGACCUUUAAGAGUAUCAGCUUCUUCUUUUAACGCCAGCUGCAGCUUUGGCCUCUGCAUCCUGCAAAUUGAGCUAUCAGGGAAGCUUACGGAUAUAAAGAUGUUACGCUUGAAAUAAUACACACACACACACGUAUAUCUAUAUAAACUAUUUAUGGGACCUGAAGCUGCAGAUUUAGUGAUCUCUCCGCUUCAUCCCAAGCGUCUGCUUUUCUAGCAGUUGCUUCCUAUAGAUGAAAUAUCAGCGUACGAACCAAGCUCAACGUAUAAUGUGUCGAAUGAAAAAAAAAAAAAAAAAUACCUGCAUUGCCUCAAUCUGCCUCAAAAGAGGCCUCGUAGAUUCGGGAACUUGCAUAACCAGUUCUUCACAUCUACGUUCGCUGGCCUGAAGACAGAUGAUAAUGGUCGUCGAUGUCUUUCCUAAGCAUAUCUUCUCUGUAAACUGCCUGCAACAAGAGACUCAAUAGCAGCAUCUGAUUUUCUCUGCAUAGAAACUAAGAGUUAGUAUGGAACUAUAAGCCCGGUUUUCUCAAUGACAAGCGUAAACGUGCACACACCUUCUGAUCAACGGCUAUAGAUUUCAACUGCUCGUUCUCAUUCAUCAGCUUUGCGAUUUCAUCAGCUUUUGCCUGUAACAGAUAAUUGUAAUGAUUUGAGGACAACUGAACAUACAAAAAUAUUGCAAAAACGAAGAGUCUUUUCUACAUUGUUUAGAACAUAUCAUCCAAAUACCACGCGUGCAACAAGAACGUCAGCUUUUUUUUAUAUAAGGGAAAGUGUAAAAUACAAUAUCCCUUAACGUACAAUACGUACGAGAUGAAAUUAUAACAUGCGUA
rnacentral:lncRNA from 1 species